rnacentral:rRNA from 1 species
ACACGUGGACAACCUAACCUACGGAAGGGGAUAACCCCGGGAAACUGGGGAUAAUACCCUAUAGACUAUGGAUGCUGGAAUGCUCUGUAGCCGAAAGGUCAGCCGCCGUAGGAUGGGUCUGCGGCCGAUUAGGGUUGUUGUUGGGGUAACGGCCCAACAAGCCUGUAAUCGGUACGGGUUGUGGGAGCAAGAGCCCGGAGAUGGAUUCUGAGACACGAAUCCAGGCCCUACGGGGCGCAGCAGUCGCGCAAACUUUGCAAUACACGAAAGUGUGACAGGGCUAUCCCGAGUGCCGUCCGCUGAGGAUGGCUUUUACCCAGUCUAGAACGCUGGGGGAAUAAGGAGAGGGCAAGUCUGGUGUCAGCCGCCGCGGUAAUACCAGCUCUCCGAGUGGUGUGGAUGUUUAUUGGGCCUAAAGCAUCCGUAGCUGGCCAAGUUAGUCCCUUGUUAAACCCACCGAAUUAAUCGUUGGAUUGCGGGGGAUACUGCUUGGCUAGGGGACGAGAGAGGCAGACGGUAUUUCCGGGGUAGGGGUGAAAUCCUAUAAUCCCGGGAAGACCACCAGUGGCGAAGGCUGUCUGCUAGAACGCGCCCGACGGUGAGGGAUGAAAGCUGGGGGAGCGAACCGGAUUAGAUACCCGGGUAGUCCCAGCUGUAAACGAUGCAGGCUAGGUGUUUGGACGGCCACGUGCCGUUCUAGUGCCGCAGGGAAGCUGUUAAGCCUGCCGCCUGGGGAGUACGAUCGCAAGAUUGAAACUUAAAGGAAUUGGCGGGGGAGCAC